rnacentral:tRNA from 1 species
UCCGCGGUGGCGCAACGGUAGCGCGGCUCGCUGUUAACGAGAUGGUUCCUGGUUCAAAUCCAGGCCGCGGAGCCA